GGUAAAAACCAUGUGUUUGACCACCAUUUUCAUGCUGACAUGUGCUGCCUUUAUUCAAGGAUCAAGCAGUCUGGUCACUUUGACUCAGACUCCUUCAUUGAAAACUGUCAAUGUAGGAGAAUCAGUGAGUCUGGGAUGCAAACUGAGUCAACCUGCUUCUACUUGUAACAGCAAUCCCUGUGUCUCCUGGUACCAGCAGAAACCAGGAGAAAUUCCUAAACUCCUCAUUUAUUACACAAACAACCUUCAGUCAGGAACUCCAUCGAGGUUUAGUGGCAGUGGGUCUGGGACUGUCGUCACCAUGACCAUCAGGGGAGUCCAGGCUGAGGAUACAGCAGUUUACUACUGUCAGAGUUACCACAGUAUCAAUAGUCAGGAUGUAGUUCUACGUGGUGCAGGGACAGGUGCCCGUAUAACAGUCAUAGAAACAGGUGUCUCUAACUCUGUUUCCCUACCAGAAGGUUCUACCUCCACCGGCUCAGGACCAUAUCUAGACGCUGUGUCCCCUCUGUCCUGA